rnacentral:rRNA from 1 species
GUAGGUGGCAAGCGUUGUCCGGAAUUAUUGGGCGUAAAGCGCGCGCAGGCGGUUCUUUAAGUCUGAUGUGAAAGCCCACGGCUCAACCGUGGAGGGUCAUUGGAAACUGGAGAACUUGAGUACAGAAGAGGAAAGCGGAAUUCCACGUGUAGCGGUGAAAUGCGUAGAGAUGUGGAGGAACACCAGUGGCGAAGGCGGCUUUCUGGUCUGUAACUGACGCUGAGGCGCGAAAGCGUGGGGAGCAAACAGGAUUAGAUACCCUGGUAGUCCACGCCGUAAACGAUGAGUGCUAAGUGUUAGGGGGUUUCCGCCCCCCUUAGUGCUGCAGCUAUCGCAUUAAGCACUCCGCCUGGGAGUACGGCCGCAAGGCUG